CCUUCGGGAGGGGAUUAGUGGCGAACGGGUGAGUAACACGUGGGCAAUCUGCCCUGCACUCUGGGAUAACUCCGGGAAACGGAGCUAAUACCGGAUACGACCAUCGCGGGCAUCCGUGGUGGUGGAAAGCUCCGGCGGUGCAGGAUGAGCCCGCGGCCUAUCAGCUUGUUGGUGGGGUGAUGGCCCACCAAGGCGACUACGGGUAGCCGGCCUGAGAGGGCGACCGGCCACACUGGGACUGAGACACGGCCCAGACUCCUACGGGAGGCAGCAGUGGGGAAUAUUGCACAAUGGGCGCAAGCCUGAUGCAGCGACGCCGCGUGAGGGAUGACGGCCUUCGGGUUGUAAACCUCUUUCAGCAGGGAAGAAGCGCAAGUGACGGUACCUGCAGAAGAAGCACCGGCUAACUACGUGCCAGCAGCCGCGGUAAUACGUAGGGUGCGAGCGUUGCCGGAAUUAUUGGGCGUAAAGAGCUCGUAAGCGGCUUGUCUCGUCGGAUGUGAAAGCCGGGGCUUAACCCGGGUCUGCCUUCGAUACGGCUACUAGAUUCGUAAGGGGA
rnacentral:rRNA from 1 species